GACGAACGCUGGCGGCGUGCCUAAUACAUGCAAGUCGAACGCUUCCUUCCUCCCGAGUGCUUGCCCUCAAUUGGAAAGAGGAGUGGCGGACGGGUGAGUAACACGUGGGUAACCUACCCAUCAGAGGGGGAUAACACUUGUAAACAGGUGCUAAUACCGCAUAACAGUUUAUGCCGCAUGGCAUAAGAGUGAAAGGCGCUUUCGGGUGUCGCUGAUGGAUGGACCCGCGGUGCAUUAGCUAGUUGGUGAGGUAACGGCUCACCAAGGCCACGAUGCAUAGCCGAACUGAGAGGGUGAUCGGCCACACUGGGACUGAGACACGGCCCAGACUCCUACGGGAGGCAGCAGUAGGGAAUCUUCGGCAAUGGACGAAAGUCUGACCGAGCAACGCCGCGUGAGUGAAGAAGGUUUUCGGAUCGUAAAACUCUGUUGUUAGAGAAGAACAAGGACGUUAGUAACUGAACGUCCCCUGACGGUAUCUAACCAGAAAGCCACGGCUAACUACGUG
rnacentral:rRNA from 1 species